UACAGAGGUCCCAAGCGUUGUUCGGAUUCACUGGGCGUAAAGGGUGCGUAGGUGGUCAGGUAAGUCGGAUGUGAAAUCUCCGAGCUCAACUCGGAAACUGCAUUGGAAACUACCUGGCUCGAGGGUUGGAGGGGGGACUGGAAUGCUUGGUGUAGCAGUGAAAUGCGUAGAUAUCAGGAGGAACACCGAUGGCGAAGGCAGGUCUCUGGGCCGAUACUGACGCUGAGGAGCGAAAGCGUGGGGAGCGAACAGG
rnacentral:rRNA from 1 species